GGAGAGUUUGAUUCUGGCUCAGGACAAACGCUGGCGGCGUGCAUAAAACAUGCAAGUCGAACGGGCCAAUCCCCGCAAGGGGAAAGGCUAGUGGCGAACGGCUGAGUAACACGUAGGUGACCUGCCCAGAAGUGGGGGAUAACGAAUCGAAAGAUUCGCUAAUACCGCAUGUGACCACUCAUUCAUUUGAGUGCUCAAAGUCGCAAGACGCUUUUGGAGGGGCCUGCGGCGGAUUAGCUAGAUGGCGAGGUAACGGCUCACCAUGGCGUCGAUCCGUAGCUGGUCUGAGAGGAUGACCAGCCAGACUGGGACUGAGACACGGCCCAGACUCCUACGGGAGGCAGCAGUUAGGAAUUUUGCGCAAUGGGGGAAACCCUGACGCAGCCACGCCGCGUGCGGGAUGAAGGCCUUCGGGUC
rnacentral:rRNA from 1 species